rnacentral:snRNA from 1 species
GAGUGUGAGGGUGAUCUGACUGUGACAUCCGUCACCCCAUUGAUUGCCAGGGUUGAUUCAGCAGAUCUGGCUGGCUAGGCAGGUGUUCCCCUCCUCCCUUGCUGCUACAUGUGCAUCCCUUCUAGAAGCUGCACACUCGAAGAGGAUGUCCUUCUCUGGUAGAGGAGGACCAACCUUUCUUCAGACAAGGGUAUAUGAGUAGCUGUGCUCCAUUGCUAGAACCUCCAAACAAGCUCUCAAGGUCCAUUAAUAGAAGACAAAAAGAGACAGAUGGCCAUGU